rnacentral:rRNA from 1 species
GAUGAACGCUGGCGGCGUGCCUAAUACAUGCAAGUCGAGCGAACAGACGAGGAGCUUGCUCCUCUGACGUUAGCGGCGGACGGGUGAGUAACACGUGGAUAACCUACCUAUAAGACUGGGAUAACUUCGGGAAACCGGAGCUAAUACCGGAUAAUAUAUUGAACCGCAUGGUUCAAUAGUGAAAGACGGUUUUGCUGUUACUUAUAGACGGAUCCGCGCCGCAUUAGCUAGUUGGUAAGGUAACGGCUUACCAAGGCAACGAUGCGUAGCCGACCUGAGAGGGUGAUCGGCCACACUGGAACUGAGACACGGUCCAGACUCCUACGGGAGGCAGCAGUAGGGAAUCUUCCGCAAUGGGCGAAAGCCUGACGGAGCAACGCCGCGUGAGUGAUGAAGGUCUUCGGAUCGUAAAACUCUGUUAUUAGGGAAGAACAAAUGUGUAAGUAACUAUGCACGUCUUGACGGUACCUAAUCAGAAAGCCACGGCUAACUACGUG